rnacentral:rRNA from 1 species
GAGUUUGAUCCUGGCUCAGGACGAACGCUGGCGGCGUGCCUAAUGCAUGCAAGUCGAGCGACGCGCACUACGGUGCGACGGAGCGGCGAACGGGUGAGUAACACGUGAGCAACCUGCCCUGAAGACCGGAAUAGCCCGGGGAAACCCGGAGUAAUGCCGGAUACACUCUCAAUAUCGCAUGAUAAUCUGAGAAAAUGCCUUUGCGCUUCAGGAUGGGCUCACGGCCUAUCAGCUAGUUGGUGAGGUAACGGCCCACCAAGGCGAUGACGGGUAGCUGGUCUGAGAGGACGAUCAGCCACACUGGGACUGAGACACGGCCCAGACUCCUACGGGAGGCAGCAGCAGGGAAUAUUGCGCAAUGGGCGAAAGCCUGACGCAGCGACGCCGCGUGGGGGAUGAAGGCCUUCGGGUUGUAAACCCCUUUCAGGAGGAAAGAAAUUGACGGUACCUCCAAAAGAAGCCCCGGCCAACUACGUGCCAGCAGCCGCGGUAAGACGUAGGGGGCGAGCGUUGUCCGGAAUCAUUGGGCGUAAAGGGCUCGUAGGCGGCUCGGUAAGUCGAUCGUGAAAUCCCGGAGCUCAACUCCGGAACUGCGUUCGAUACUGCCGUGGCUAGAGUCAGGUAGAGGAGAGUAGAAUUCCCGGUGUAGCGGUGGAAUGCGCAGAUAUCGGGAGGAAUACCAUUUAGCGAAGGCGGCUCUCUGGGCCUGUACUGACGCUGAGGAGCGAAAGCGUGGGUAGCAAACAGGAUUAGAUACCCUGGUAGUC